UACGUAGGCAGCAAGCGUUGUUCGGAGUUACUGGGCGUAAAGAGCUCGUAGGCGGUUUGUCGCGUCUUCCGUGAAAACUAGAGGCUUAACCUCUAGACGUCGAUGGAAACCAUCUGGCUAGAGUCCGGAAGAGGAGAGUGGAAUUCCUGGUGUAGCGGUGAAAUGCGCAGAUAUCAGGAAGAACACCCGUGGCGAAGGCGGCUCUCUGGGACGGUACUGACGCUGAGACGCGAAAGCGUGGGGAGCGAACAGG
rnacentral:rRNA from 1 species